rnacentral:rRNA from 1 species
ACAUUUCUUUAAGGUUUAUAUUUAAGGUAGUUCCUGCUCAAUGAUUAUUUAAAUAGCUGCAGUAAUUUGACUGUACAAAGGUAGCAUAAUAAUUAGUCUUUUAAUUGAGGACUAGAAUGAAUGGAUUUAUGAGAUAUAUAUUUUAUUUAUUUUAUUUUUAAAAUUUAAUUUCUUAGUUAAAAAGCUUAGUUAUUUUUUUGGGACGAAAAGACCCUAUAGAACUUUUUAUUAUUUUAUAUAUUUUAGAAUAAAAUUAUUAUAAAUAAGUAUUUUGUUGGGGUGACAAAUAAAUUUAUACUUUAUUUUUUUUUAUCAUUGAUUUAUGUAAUUAGGAUCCUUAUUUUUGAUUAAAAGUUUAAGUUACCUUAGGGAUAACAGCGUAAUUUUAAUGGGAAGUUCAUAUUUAUAUUAAAGUUUGCGACCUCGAUGUUGAAUUAAGAUAAAUAUAAGGGGUAGGUUCUUUAUUAUUUAAGUCUGUUCGACUUUUAAAUUCUUACUUGAUCUG